rnacentral:lncRNA from 1 species
UUUGAUUUGGUUCAACGAAUUAAUUUUUUUUAAAAAGUAAAUUCGAUUAAAUAAAGUGAAUUGAUAAAAUAAAAAUUAAAAAAAAGAUUGAAUUGAAUUAUUUUAAUUCAAUUGGUUUGAAUAAUUCUUUUGAUUAUAAAUUAAAUGGGUAAGCAUAAGAAGAUUGUUUCAUUAGAUACUGGGAGAAUACAAGUGGCGUCUGAGGAAUUCUCCACCAGCUCUAUCAAACGUGCUUACUCUAAAACCACAUCUAAACAAACUGAUAAUAAUGAAAAAAUAAAAAAUAAAUGAAUUUAAAGGGAAAUACUAUAUUAUCAUCGCAAACCGACCAACCAUAUUAAAAAAACCUUACACAGCCCAACGAAACUAUCAAAAUAAUAUUUAAAAAAAAAAAAAAGACAUAAACAAGAGAUUAUUUAGUGAGAUUUGGUGAGAUGCAAGAAACUAGAGAAAAUGAAAUGAAUCCAAAGGAAGAUAUGGAUGGCCAGCUGCUAGCUGUGGCCUGUGGCUGCAAGUUUAGACACAGCUUUCAUCUUUCAAGUUCUCCGGAUUCAGAAAAAAGUACGCAAUAAUAUUUAUAGUUAGAUAGCAAAGACUGUAUUUACAUUUAGGAGGUG